rnacentral:rRNA from 1 species
UGCAUAUCAAUAAGCGGAGGAAAAGAAACCAACAGGGAUUGCCCCAGUAACGGCGAGUGAAGCGGCAACAGCUCAAAUUUGAAAUCUGGCCCCUAGGGUCCGAGUUGUAAUUUGCAGAGGAUGCUUUUGGCGAGGCGCCUUCCGAGUUCCCUGGAACGGGACGCCAUAGAGGGUGAGAGCCCCGUCUGGUCGGAUGCCAAGCCUAUGUAAAGCUCCUUCGACGAGUCGAGUAGUUUGGGAAUGCUGCUCAAAAUGGGAGGUAUAUGUCUUCUAAAGCUAAAUAUUGGCCAGAGACCGAUAGCGCACAAGUAGAGUGAUCGAAAGAUGAAAAGCACUUUGAAAAGAGGGUUAAAAAGUACGUGAAAUUGUUGAAAGGGAAGCGCCUAUGACCAGACUUGGGCCCGGUGAAUCAUCCAGCGUUCUCGCUGGUGCACUUUGCCGGGCACAGGCCAGCAUCAGUUUGGCGCGGGGGAUAAAGGCUUUGGGAAUGUGGCUCCCUCGGGAGUGUUAUAGCCCAUUGUGUAAUACCCUGCGCCGGACUGAGGUACGCGCAUUGCAAGGAUGCUGGCGUAAUGGUCAUCAGCGACCCGUCUUGAAACACGGACC